CCAGAUUAGACAAAGAAAAGCAAGCCUCUGCACAGGGGUUUGGAGCAAGGUGUUGACCAAAAUUUGGAUGUCAGAACUCAAGCAGGGAGAAGAGGCUAGAGUGCAGUGGUGCGAUCUCGGCUCACUACAACUCCUACCUCCUGAGUUCAAGCGAUUCUCCUGCCUCAGCCUCCCGAGUAGCCAGGACUACAGUGUCGAGGUCAUGAAAGCCACUGAAAGACUGAGAACUGUUCCAGAAAGGAGACUAGAGAGACAUGGCAGCCAAAUGCUCCACAUAAUCCUGUCCUGGAUUCUUCUCCUACAAAGGAAGGGGUCUGAGGAUUAGGUGGUAGUACUGAGUAAGGAACUAUCAUCUCCUAUUGUGCUGUAGGCAAACUUGAGUGACAUGGUGGAAGCCACCAGAGAGAAUAUCUGAAGCAAUUCAUUAAAAUCUUGGCAGCCAGACCCCAGCUCCCACUUUCCCUGAAAGCUCCCUUUAAUGAAGCUGAACGCUGUCCCAGCAAUUCCCUCCACAGAAGACCUACUGUCACCACCUCUGGAGGGGCAAUUCCUGGAGGAACCAAGUCAGCCAAUCGAAGGUCCUGAAUAAGCAAAAACUAAGUAAAUAAAUUACCAUCUCGAAAGUGAUGGGUUAGUGUGCUCUUUUGAAUGCCCCGUAGGAAAAUAAAUUUGAUUAAA
rnacentral:lncRNA from 1 species